rnacentral:rRNA from 1 species
GAUGAACGCUGGCGGCGUGCCUAAUACAUGCAAGUCGAGCGAACGGACGAGAAGCUUGCUUUUCUGAUGUUAGCGGCGGACGGGUGAGUAACACGUGGAUAACCUACCUAUAAGACUGGGAUAACUUCGGGAAACCGGAGCUAAUACCGGAUAAUAUUUUGAACCGCAUGGUUCAAAGGUGAAAGACGGUGUUGCUGUCACUUAUAGAUGGAUCCGCGCUGCAUUAGCUAGUUGGUAAGGUAACGGCUUACCAAGGCAACGAUGCAUAGCCGACCUGAGAGGGUGAUCGGCCACACUGGAACUGAGACACGGUCCAGACUCCUACGGGAGGCAGCAGUAGGGAAUCUUCCGCAAUGGGCGAAAGCCUGACGGAGCAACGCCGCGUGAGUGAUGAAGGUCUUCGGAUCGUAAAACUCUGUUAUUAGGGAAGAACAUAUGUGUAAGUAACUGUGCACAUCUUGACGGUACCUAAUCAGAAAGCCACGGCUAACUACGUG